ACGAAGCAGUCAUGGAAGUGGAGGCGGAUGAGACUGGCCGGGAUGCGCGGGUCGGAGACGCGCGCGCUCUGGAUGACGCGACGGACGACGUUGUAGGCGCCGGGGCACGACAGGUCGUAGAACGCGGAGCUCAGCGCCGCGCCGGCGUGGCCACGGGCGACUCCAGCCAGAGCGAGCAGGAGAGCGCAGUGCCAGUGCGCGGCUAACAGCCACGCAGGAGACGAGAUGCGAGAGGAAGCCGCCAUGCCCGCGCACUUGCACAGUUGCAGGAGACGAGAUGCGAGCUGCUAACGGAUGUCAGUGGAGAGGGGUAGCGGCUCGCUAAUGACAGCGUCGCGGUCUCCCGGACUGGUUUGGAUGGAUGGAUGGAUGUGAGAGGACUGGUUGGAUGUGCGAAUGAAGGAUCGAGUACGUAUUUAUAGUCUCGAUCUCGACUGAUAAUAUUAUAAUAAGCUCGCGGACGUUUCUCUGGUACACAUGGGCUGGGAUUGUUGGGUGCUCUGGUUUGACCAGAGCAUGACCAUUUGAAUGGUUUAGUUUAGCACUGUGGCUGCAGCUGCGUGCACCUUCCUUUCGGCAUGCGGUUGCGAUGCUAAAAUAUUCUUUUCAGGAUUGAUCCGUGCAUGCAUGGUAGCGGCACGAGAAAAUGGAUCACGUUGAGUUGUUGAAUGAUGAUUGCGUGCUUGCGUGUGCUCGCCGAAAUUCGCCGCAAGCGGCAGGGCUUGGCAGCUGCCGGCCGGGGAAGGUGCCCAAAACUCUGUGGCAUGUUCCAUUUGCUUCUGAGAAGGAGCAAAAAGGGACGAACCGUAGGGUGCAAGUGUGCCGGGUUCACGGGUGCUUGCCAUCCCUGCCGACUGCUGGCGACCAACCAUGGGCCAUGAGUUUGCAGCUGCCAGGAAACAGCCGAUCGUGUGGCCGGGUCAGUGAGAGAGCCUCUCACACGAGCAAGUAGACGCCCAACCCAGCACCAUCAGUGUCUUUAUUAAUUUAAUGUUGCCGUUGGAGUUGCCCGCAUUCAGCCCGUGCUUACGCAGCGAGAAUAAGUGUGUCUCUCUCUCUCUCUCUCUCUCUCUCUCUCUCUCUCUAUAUAUAUAUAUAUAUAUAUAUAUAUAUAUAUAUAUAUAUUUUAUUAAUCAGUGGUAGGCUGUUGCCAAUAUAGUUCCUAAUCUUUCUUUAUUAUACCUCAAAUAUACUAGUUCUUAUUAUACAUGUUGUUAUUGUUAAUCAAUGGUCGUGUCGCCAACGCAUCACACAGAAGCUUUCAGAUUCAAAAAUUUCUGAGUGUGCCUGCCACACUUCCAAACGGUGGUUUAGGAGGCUUGGGAUAAGCCAACGCAUCACACAUAAGCAUUCCAUAGGCUUAGGCAUAAGGUACACACAACCGCAACCGUUCUCCGAGCCAGGAGUGAAUUAAUCCAUCAUUUCAGAAGCUAGAAUGAAAUUCCAUAUGGUGCAGAAAAUUAUACUCCUGCUUGACUCCACUCAAAAAUACACUUUCAACAGGAGUUCUGAAUUCACAAAAGGCUUAAAAGCGCCUCAUGGGCUAGGCUGUCAUUGAGAAAGCAAGGGAAAACACCAAUGCUCGGGAAUCUCAAACAUAGGAGAAGGAGACGCAAAUACCAAACAUUUUCACCUCAAGGUUAAUGCAAGACUGUGGAGAAAUUAAAUUCCACAAUUUACCCCAAUGAUAGAGCUCUCACACCUGGAAAAUGAAUAAAUAAUUUAUGAGCACUUCUCAACCACAAUGAGCAAGCAUCGGCUGUGCCAGAAAGACCUCAACUAGAGCAUCUUAGAUCUUGCAACAAUUAAUCCAUCGACCCUUGAGGCGCCAAUCUCGAAGGAGCAAAUUUAGAGGGCAAUUUCUCAAAUACAAAGGGACAAAGCACUAGGGUUGGAUGACUUUUUUAUCACACCGUGUAAGUACACCAACACAUGAAUCAAUGCACUCUCUUUCACUUCACAACUUUGAGCAUAUACAUAGUCUACCAAAGAUUGUACAAACUAGAAGCAUUGCAAUUGAGCUAGGACCCAAAGCGAAAAUACGAAUGCCCAUGGAAUCCACAUGUGAGGUAGUCCUUAAACCUACAUAAUACCAGCGGUAACCAAGUUGCUUCACUGCUUGACUUAGGAUGGCUUGAAAGCUGCACAAUGUAGGUCAAAUCCUGAUAUGAAAGAUGGAACCUAUAAGUGGUGUCAACAAAUAGAAUAUGAGAACCACAUCAUUUUUUAUGUGUUGUUGAGCACCAUUUUGACUAUAUCAUAUCAUUUUUUAUGUGUUGCUGAGAAAUCUUUUCACUAACUGUUGUCGCAUCUAGAUUGUCUUCAUGUAAAGCUUGUUGUCGAACAAAUGAGAAAUCUAGAAUAUAAUAUCUAUUGGUUGCAGGCGCCUUCAUACAUGCUUUCACAAUAUUUUUCUCAGCAGUUAUUUGAUAGGAUGGACUCCUUCCCAUUAUAAAAGUUUUUCUACCCUCUCUAGCACCAAUGAUGAAAUCAAUGACACAUAUAUGACUCUCCAUCAUGGAAGUUGGUUGCUGUUGAUAUUUCUUAUGCUCAAGAGAUAAUUACGCAACCGCAUAUAAUACUAUUGUAGCACUUUACCUAGAAGAAUUCCAAAGGUACCAUAUUAGCUAGUUUCAUCCAUAAGGAAGCAUGGCUAAGAGAGUAUUAAUGAAUAUGCGGCUUGGCUAUAUUAUAAGUAAUGCACCAAAGCCUAUUGGGGGUAAGUUGGUAAAGGAGAAUAAUGAAACAGAUAAGAACAACAAAGUCUCAAAAAGGUACAAGUAGGUAGAAUGGCUAGUUGCUUGGGAGGAUAACAUUAUAAGUAGAGCCAGAAAUAGUUCUCUACUACUUUAGUCUAAACAAGCAUAGACUAGUUAUAGAUAAUUAUGCACAUCUAAAUACUAGUAAUAAUCACACAACAAACAUGGGAGGAUAGACCCAUCAGACAAUAGAAUGGGGUGAGAAAGGUAUCAAACAGUUCCGACAAAGAACUCUAUGAUUUAAUAACUUGUCUGAACACGGCGGAAUAUACAGAAUAGGCAAGGAUGUCACCACUUGAUAUCUACCACGAACUAUCUGUGGGAGAGGUUAACAAGGGAUAUAUAUAGGGGUCCUAUCUCAAAUGGACCUUGAAGAGUGAAGAUGGACAAACAAAUGAGUCAUUGUACUUGAAGAGUUCUUGAAACUCUCACACCAUGUUCGAACGCAGUUCUUUUGCCCUAAUGGCACAUGCCCUCGCAAUAUGGACCACAGGAUUUGCUGAGAUCCUUGACCAACAGGAGAGUGCUGGGUAUGAAUCUCAGUGCGAAUCUUGUGAUCCACAUUGUGAGAGCAUGUAUUUAGGAGCAAAAUUUACUUUACCCACCGUGUUCCUACAUAUUCCUAUAAGAUCCAAAUAUGUAGUUGUCUAAUUGUUGGCUUUCAUCUUGUGAUCAACAUAAUUUCUUGCUGGAGAAAAUGGAUUUAUCAUUGACUGAAGAGCGACAAUUAAGUUGAGAUAAAAUCAUGGUUACACAUAUGACAAUAUUAACAACCUAUACUACUGCAAUCCUCAUGUUUCUUCAUAGAGUUCAAAUUCCGAAGGAAAAGACCAAAAGUUGUAGAGAAACUAGGUCCUUAUGGUGUUUCGUAGGGAACAUUUCCUAGAAAUGUUUUGACAUGAAACAAGUUUGUGCCCUACAUUUUUCUAAGAAACCGUAGGAAACAUGGUUUCCCUAGGAAAUGCAUAUAUUUCUAUAUAUAGAAAUUAUAUAUUUUUUUAGAUAUAUGCAUAAACAAAUGGUGUAAAAAUAAUUUUCACAUUUGCUUCCCAACAGAGGGUGCAUACAUUCUCACUCACAGUUUCAAACAAUGACACAAGAAUGAUCUGCGUGAACAUCAUCAUAACAGGUGAAAAAAAGGAAAUCAAACAAAUUAAAUUGAAUGAGAGUCUUCCUCAAUGGCCUUUGCUAUUGACCCUCCGGCAGUUCUUUCUGAUCUCUCCAUCCUUUCCUGUCAGCGGGCUGAUGUUGCCCAUCUUAAUCAUGGAUGUCACGAAGUUCGCAAAGAAAUCCUUUUGGUUACUCGCGAACCGGUGAACAACAGGUGCAGUGGUUGUCGGUGCCGCAGGGUCGGAUAGCAUGACCUGGUCGGACGAUAGCUGCGCUUGGCCGUGCAAGAGGUUGCCAUAAUACUUGUUGUCAAACACAGUGGGUGUAACCUGAUCCAGGUUCUCUAGUGCACCCUGUGGUUGCCCCGCCGAGCAGUUGUGACGCGUGAACUGGCACUGGACUUUGCCAAAUGUGUGCGCUCCUGGAGUACAAAUUUAUUGUUUGUUGAUAUCAUCAGUGUGUGCACGCCGUAUAUAAAAAGUAACUUCGCAAGUUUGAACUGUACGUGCAAAAAUAGUAUUAUUUGCUCAGCCUGUGUACGUUACCUUGGAGGGCGACGAGGUCAGUGUCGUCGAGGUUGACAUUUCUGAACUUCUCCUGGAGCUUGGCAAGGGUGUCGAAAGGGCUGGGAAGGUUGUUAGCACUCUGGACGUUGGUCGUCGUGCCGUCUCGGCGGCCAAGAAGCACCCUCCACCGUGGUCCUCCAGCCUGCGCGCGCCCAGUUCGUCCGUGCACGAUUCUUUCCCAUCAGUUGAGUUCAGGCGAGAAGCUAGAGAUAUAGUUUCAAUGCAAGAGGAUAUAGAGGAUCGGAGAUGCUUACGAGUUCAACGGAGAUCUCGGCUGCGAGGGCAAGGAUAUCAGCGCAGGAGACGAUGCCCGGGCACGCUUCCUCCAGCGCCCGCUUGAUGCCGUCGACCACCGGGAAGCCGCGCGCCGAGUUGUUGUUGGCUGGCACGUUCUUCUCGGUCUGGAUCGCCGGGAGAUCGUCGUCCAGAAGAAGGGAGCCGUCGCAACCCUGAAAACCAACAAUAUUUGACGCUCAUUCGUGUGUCAGAUGAUGCAAGCAGGCUUAUGUAGCUGCGUACAUGCUACAGGAGCACUAUCGAUCAGGUCACGUACGUUGACGAAGCAGUCAUGGAAGUGGAGGCGGAUGAGACUGGCCGGGAUGCGCGGGUCGGAGACGCGCGCGGCCUGGAUGACGCGACGGACGAUGCCGUAGGCGCCGGGGCACGACUGGUCGUAGAACGCGGAGCUAAGCGCCGCGCCGGCGGUCGGAGAGUGGCCACGGGCGGCUCCAGCCAGGGCGCCGAGCAUGAGAGCGCAGUGCGCGGCCAACAGCCAC
rnacentral:lncRNA from 1 species